rnacentral:lncRNA from 1 species
CCUAUCUUCGUCUAUGAACCACUAAUUUGUUGUAGUGAUGUCAACUGAACCAACCAAGAAACCAAAUCCGACAGGAACAUAUGUAGGAUUAGUCUUAACUAAUAACUAGAUUGCCUACCGAUGGAUGGAUGGUAGUUAUGCUAAAAGCAAUGAACAUAAGCCACGUGCCACCUGAUGAACUUUAGAGUCACAUGUCCAAGAAUCUGUUUAUCCAACUGCCAUCUUUUUGGUGAGAUUUAUGUUGCAACCUUUGACUUGAGG